UACUUGGUAGCUCAUAUUUUAGAGCAUAACAUUGAAGCUGUUAAGAAAAUAUUAUUAUUUUAAGUAA
rnacentral:tRNA from 1 species